GGUUAUUACGCUGGCACGAUAACAUCCGGGCAUAGCUGACGUGUUUGACUGACGAGCUCUCAGACGUCGCUGCAGGAGCACGCCAUUUGCGGACGGCCGGCUGAUACUUAUCUGCAGGACUGCUUUCGCACAGUAACACUGACAAUGAUAAUUAUACACUUCCCCUGUACUUUGACAUGGUUGACGUGUAGUUUAUAGAAGCUUCGAUUCUGUGUACCUUCAAGAGAAGUUUUUUCGAUUCCAAGCUUUUUGUUCGUUUCGUAUAGAAGUUUAUGUUCGUUAAGUGUGUCGACUUUCGGUACUACGCUGCGAAUGUUAAUAAGGUGGACAGUGUAAAUAACGGUGACAUAACUGAAAUGAAGGUUAUGUGCCCGGUCUAUACAGUUAGAUUUUGAGAUUAUGUUGUUUUUGGUAAUUACUAUAAGUAUACAAGUGCUCUGUUGACAAACUCGAUGAUCACCGAUGUUGACAUGGGAUCAAGAUCGCAUUUACAGGCAUCGGCUAAAGUUAUUACACAGACUGGAAGCGAAAAGUAGGAAACUGUCGAGGAAAAGGCAGCCGGACACCUUUCUCGUUAAUAGAGAACGGCGGAACUCUUUCUAUCAACUUUCUAGUCCCGUCACGGCAAUUAGCAAAGUACCUGCACGUGCGGAUAAAUCCUCUCGUGGCAGAAGCGCGACUUAUUUAUGACCAUCCGCGUCCCGAGACCCGACUAAAGGGUUAAAAGCGAAACAAUGCCACGGUCGACAUUGUUUUGAUGCGGUCAGAACUGAGGAAGAUCGGUGAAAAGGCGCAUAAACCCUCACGUCGUGUGCCAGUUUUCCCAAACGGAAGCUUCGACGUGAAACUCGUUGGUUUUUCCAUCCGCUGACAUUUUCUCUCUUUCUUCAUCCUCGUUCUCCCUCCUCGUGGCCACCGCUGAUUAUCCAUCGACUAUUUCCAACGCUGCCUCCAGCUGGUUUUCGCCGUUUUUCCUCGAGAUUCUCUUGUUCGACGCACCAACGUUGGCCUCGCUUCGACAGAAGAUGAGCAGUCUCGAGGGAAGAAUAAAGAGAAGACAAGUUUUAAAUAAUUCUACAACGAGCUCAGUAUAACUGAUACCGUACAGCUUCUUGGAUUUGGUAAAAUAGAUCAGAUUCGACUUUAAAAAUGAUGAACUCUGUUUCAGAAAUCUUGGAGCAGUAUGUUUGUUUCAAUACAGAGAAACGUUAAGUAAUUGUAUGUACAUGGUAAGGUGCUUGGACGGAUUUUCCUAAGGGCUGAAUUAUAUUAUAAAGAGUGGAGAGUUUCGUGUCCUCCGCGUUAAAUGAACCUGUCCAAGGCAGGAGUCGUAAGAAAUGAAGAAGUCACGGGAACAGAGGAAGAAAUCAGUCAGUGCCUGCUCCAAGCACGAUGACUUUGACUCUAUCGACUCGUCUUCCGCUUAUCUAAAUCACUUAUCGAUAUCUUGCCCUGAUCCUGCUUUUCUUCAAUAUCCGAUCGCCGUCGAUCUUAAUAAUUGCACUUCUUCUUCUUUUCGAUUUCAGCGAUCCCUUAUAUAUCAAAAUGCAUACACGAAGAACCUGCAUUCCAACUUCUACCAAAGUAACUAGACAAAAUAAACCAUCUACUGGUUCCACUCACCAAUCUCUCCUCUUCGUCACGUGGAACAAUCGUUUGAAAACUGCAGAACAGUAAACCACCCCUUUGAUAUUCCUGCUGUUAUCAUUUUCGCCAGACAAUAUUGUGUCCAAAAUAAUCCUCUAGUAGGAUUGAACGAUGAUUCGACAGUGCGGCCAUCGUUCGACGACGGUGACGAAGUCAGCAAGAGUGGAAAAGACUGGCAGGCGGAACGAAGACAGAGGCAGCGGGUACUCCCCGCGGAAAUCAACGGGGCUGCGAGCGUUUCGUUGAAAUUUCCGGCGUAUUGUCGGCGUUCGGCGGCCGUGAAUGAUCCGGAGCCACCAUCAACCCCUUUGUGAAGGAAGGGAGACGGCGAGGCGGGAACGAGGGCGAACCUGAUGGGAUAUGGGGAUGGCGACGCGUCCCUGGCGACGCCGCGACGCUGACAGCGUUCGGUCCCGGCGCCCUCUUCUCCCCGACUCUAUUUCCGCGUUUUCUUUGACACACCCCGCAUUAAAUGCUUCAGCUGUUUCUACAAACUUGCGAUCCGCACUAUUCGCGUGAUCGAAUGGCGUUGGUCGAAUGCGAUGUUUGUUACCGAGGGACAAAAUGGUUGAUGGAACGAACGAAAUUGAGGCUGUUUGAGAGAAUCAGAUUGUAAAUGGUUGAAUAUUAAUACAUUGCACGUUUUCACAUUCAUGGGGAUUCACGGAUGCAAGAAUAUAUAGAACGUGGAUAGUAUUUAAUGUAUGAAAGGAAUUUACAAUAUAAAAUAUUCGCAGUGUUCAUUGUAAAAUUGAAUGAAUGAAGCAAAUCUCGACUUUGAAUCUAUUUUACAAUAACAUGAAUCUGUAUAAACAUCCGCUAUGUAAAUGUAACAAGUUUGGAGCAUGAGGAGGAAUUGUAUUGUUUGAAAUUGUAAUUAUUAGAAAAUGUGUUCUACGUUCUGGAUAGAUUUGGACGUUUUGUGAAAGUAAUUACCAUAGCUUUUAUCAAUGAAUGAAACAAUUCUUCUUUCACAACUGAUAAAUAUUAAUGUCUGAAGUAACAAUUAUUUUUCUUAAUCAAAAACAAUUAUUUUCUUAAUCACAAUUAUAGAAGUGAGAUAACACGUUCCUGGUUUCAAAUUGAUAGAUUAUCAUGAAAUAAUCUUACAAUAUGAAACGAACUUGCAGCUGUAAUUACUUUCCUUAAUCGGUUCAUAUUGUAUAAUAGAAUUACAGUUACAUACUUAAUACAUCUUAUGUCAUAAGAUUGCAUUAUGAAAUGUGUGUAGUCAGGAAUCGCUGUCUAUAACAUGGCUGUCUUAUUAGCAACAUUACGUUAAAAGUAAUGCACGUAGCAGCGGUUAGAAGAUGAUAAUUAGCUGAUGGUACAGAUUAUCACAAUCCUGUUACGAUUGAUGGAGUAGAAGGUGCUAAUGAUUAUUUAAAGAUGAUGGUAAUUAGGUAAAUUAAAGCGCUACCCAGAGUUCUGAAUAACAGUAUGUUACGCAAAUAUAACGUGCAGCAUGCGCCUGUACGUGAUACUGUAAUUUAAGUAGUAUCUAACUUAAUCGUUGCUACAUAAUUUGUUUCAUAUUUGUCUUCUUAACAUGCCUGCUGAUUUCUGAGUAGAUUGCCGUUCUGUGGAUAGUCAUUUCCUGCAAACUUCGUAUAAAUAGAAAGCUCGAGGUUGCACGAUCAUGGUAAGACCACGAAUUCUGCUAAUCAUCGCGCGAGGAAAAGUCCAAACAACCUUUUUCCAAAAGCAACUUCAUGCUUUCCCAAAUAUUAUUCGAAUAUAUUAUUCUAGAUCAGUUUCUUUAUUAACGAAGCUAUUUUUUCAAUUGUUUGCGUCGCUUUUAUAGCAAUGAACACGGCUGAGUUUACCACAUCGAACAAGAAAGGAUUAAAGCAAUUUCUUCUGGAGACAACUUCAUGGUCUUCGAAAUAUUAUUGUUCAAAAGACAUAACCUAGAAAUAACUGCUUUUUUAACCAAGAUAAUCGAGGAAGAAGAAAAGCGAAGAAUAUUCUUUUACCAUCGAUUCCUUGAUUUUUCAAGCAUUAUUCCAACGAUAUAUUUCAAAAGCAAUUUCUUUAAUAUGAUAGCUGGUUCUUCGAUUGUUCACGAUACUGUUAUGGCAAUAGACGCGUCCAUGUUGGCGAUAUUAACAUCGCCGACAGCGAUGGCUGGCUGCCUUUUGUCCAGAGGGAUGAAAUACUUGAUGAUAUUAAACAUGAAUAAUGUAACGGUUUGGGGGCGAGCAAUAGCGGCUGCGAUAAGGCCUUCUGGAAUACAACAUACGCAAAAUUACAAUGUAACAGCUGUCAGGCUUGUACCAGAAUGAAGAAAUAAUAGUGACUGACUGAAUUGGAGAGCCAAUGGAAUCAAUGAAUUAAGAUAUCAACCACUUGGAAGGAAAAUUGUAAAAGAAUUUGCUCGUUUGGCAGUGGAAACUAGUUUUAUUGACAGAAAUCGCGCUGCGGGGUAAAUUGGUGGAAACAAGAGGGCAAAGGGAGGAGGGAAAAAAUCAGUGCCGGAUGACUCGUCGGUUUUCGAGCGAACCGGAAUGACUAAGUGUGAAUUCAAUUAAGGGUUUGUUUUAAGCAUCUAUCAGAGCUUGUUUACGGGCCAGCUCAUUAUUUACGUAACACGAUGAAAUUGACAAUUUCAACUUGGCUAAUUAACGCUGCCGAUCGAAGAAAUUUGUCCGGUUUCAAGUUCCUUCCCCUUUCGUCAAACUAUCUACACACCUGAAGAAUCAAGAAAGAAGAAAAGAGGAAAUUGAGGAGCCAAAGGAACCAAGGAAGAUAAAUUAUGAAUUUCUUUUUUUUUGUUACUGCAUAUCCUUCAGAAAUUUGUUUCAAGUUUGUUACCCUUUUGUCAAAUUAUCUAUAAUACAUACAUAGUACAAGAUUUUUUCAAAACAAAUUCAUCUCAUAUUAUUUUAAUAUUUACUGAAUUUUUCAAAAGAAUCAAAAAAGAAGAAAAAGGAAAUUGAGGAGCCAAAGGAACCAAAGAAGAGAAAUUAUAAACUUCUUCUCUUUUCUUAUUACAUAUCCUUCACAAAUUUAUUUCAAGUUUGUUACCCUUUUGUCAAAUUAUCUAUAAUACAUACAUAGUACAAGAUUUUUUCAAAACAAAUUCAUCUCAUAUUAUUUUAAUAUUUACUGAAUUUUUCAAAAGAAUCAAAAAAGAAGAAAAAGGAAAUUGAGGAGCCAAAGGAACCAAAGAAGAGAAAUUAUAAACUUCUUCUCUUUUCUUAUUAUAUAUCUUUCACAAAUUUAUUUCAAGUUUGUUCCCCUUUUGUCAAACUAUCUACACACACAAUACAAAAUUUUUUCAAAACAAAUUCAUCAUGUUAUUUUGAUGUUUAUUGAAUUCUUCAGAAGAAUCAAAAAAGAAGAAAAAGGAAAUUGAGGAGCCAAAGGAACCAAAGAAAAGAAAUUAUAAGCUUCUUUUCUUUUGUUACUGCGCAUUCUUUAUUUGUAUCUUCAGAACUAAUAAUAAUAUAAUGUUAAUAGUGUCCUUUGUAAAAAAACCCAAAAUAUCAAUUCCAAUUUUUACCAUUUCACUCAUUCUUUUCCAUCAAACAGACGCAUUCAACCGGAAACCUACAUUUUCUAGAUGUUUUGCCUGAAGAAGAGGAAAUAUCCUCUUACCCUCUAUGAGCAGCAGCCAUGAAAAUCGAAACGUAGCCAGCGGAAAACAGCAGGGUGUUAAUAAUGGUUCAGGAAUUCGGCUAUGGACCAAUGUCAAAGGAUCUUUCCUCGUCCAAUCCCGGUCGACGAGUACGGCAGGAUGUUGUUGUAGGCUGGACCAAAUAGUCCAGGGCGGACCCUUCUUUUAAUUGUAUCGAAGGGUCGAUCCUGGAGCCUCGGCUCGUGAGAAACGGAAUGCGUGCGUCACGGAUCCAAUUCAUUCGUCCGGACCUUUUCCCGAAAAUGUUGUCAUUAAUUUGGAGCACGACACUGUUCAGGGAAAAUUGACAAAUCGCUGGGAAGGCCGCGGUGUCCUUUAAGA